UUUUUUUUUUUUUUUUUUUACAAAUUUAGUUUUAUAAAACACAUACUUUUCUCCUGUUUUACUAAAAAGUUAUGCAAAGAUUAAAAACUGCUUUGUGUUUUUCUCUUUAAUUAAAUAUGUGUUGGAAUUAUAUUGCAGCUUGAUGUCUUUGGAAAAGUCAGGUGGGGUUUAUUUCUACUGAAAAGAUGUAUAGUUUAAGAGAUGCCAGUGUUUCAACAUCAAUUAUCAGAAUAAACAUAUCUUAACUCUGACUUCUACAGGUAUGUUAUACAGAAGGUUCUUUUCAUAGUUAUUUCUUACCUGAUUGAAGGAAACUCAAAAAGACCCAUUGGUAUUAAAAACAAAUACUUCACUGAACUGGAAAAACUGCUGAUUAUCAGUCCUGGGGUGAACAGCCACUGCAUUUAGUUAGCCUCACCAUUGAAAAAGUUUUUCAUCUUAUAAGAUGAAUUAUAACUUUUGUAAGACUAUAUAAUAUGCUCAAGUAAUAAACCUUAUUGUUUCAUUUUAAAACACAAAUUUAAGUAUAGAGAUGAAUAGUUUGAUGAGCUGCACAGAAAGGGAAGACUGGAAAGAAAAAUUUUUUUUGCUUGCAUUAUACUUCUUUUUUUUUUUGUCUCUUUAGGGCCGCACCCCUGGCAUAUGGAAGUUCCCAGGCUAGGGGUCCAAUCGGAGCUGUAGCUGCCAGCCUACAUCAGAGCCACAGCAACGCGGGAUCCUAGCCACGUCUGAAACCUACACCACAGCUCAUGCAAUGCCGGAUCGUUAACCCACUGAGCAAGGGCAGGGAUUGAAGCCACAAACUCAUAGUUCCUAGUCGGAUUCAUUAACCACUGUGCCACGAUGGGAACUCCCUGUUUGUACCUCUUAAUCCCUUAUCCCUAUCUUGCUCCUCCCUCCUUCCCUCUCCCCACUGGUAAAUACUACUUUGUUCUCUAUAUUUGUGAGUCUGUUUCUUUUUUUUUAUAAUCACUCUUUCGUUUUACUUUUUGGAUUCCACAAAUAAGUGAUAACAUUCAGGAUUUCUCCUUCUCUGUCUGACAUAUUUCACUAGGCAUAAUAUCCUUCAGAUCCAUCCAUGUUGUUGCAAGUGCCAAAAUUUAAUUCUUCUUUAUGGUUGAGUAGUAUUCCAUUGUCUGUCUGUCUGUCUAUCUGUCUAUCUAUCUAUCUGUCUAUCUAUCUAUCAUCUAUCAAUUUAUCUCUCUAUAUCUCACAUCUUUAUCCAUUCAACUGUGGACACAAGUUGUUUUCAUAUUUUGGCAAUUAUAAAUAAUACUGCUAUAAACAUUGGGAUGUAGGUCUUUUUGAAUUAGUGUUUUUGUUUUCCUUGGAUAUAGACAAGGAGUGAAAUUGCUGGGUUAUAUGGUGACUCUAUUUAUGUUUUCCACAGUGACUGCACCAAUUUACACUCCCACCAACAGUGUACGAAGUUUCCCUUUUCUUCAUAUCCUUGCCGCAUUUGUCAUUCGUGUUCUUUUUGAUGAUUGCCAUUCAUCAUUCAUCCAGGUGCAUGUAUCUUUUUGAAUUAUAGUUUUCUCCAGAUAUACGCCCAGGAGUGGGAUUACCGGAUCAUAUGGUAACUAUUUUUAGUUUUUUAUGGAAUCUCCAUAUUCUUUUCCAUAGUGGCUCCAUCAGUUUAAAUUCCCACCAGUGGUGAUGAGGGUUUUUUUUCUCCCUAUCCUUGCCACCAUUUGUUAUUUGUGGUCUUUUUGAUGACAGCCGUUCUGACCAGUGAGAGGUGAGAUACCUCAUUGUAAUUUUUAUUUGCAUUUCUCUGAUAAUUAGUGAUGUUGAGCAUCUUUCCAUGUGCUUUUUGGCUAUCCAUAUGUCUUCUUGGGAGAAAUGUCUAUUUAGAUCUUCUGACCACUUUUUUAUUAGGUUUUUUUGGGAGGGCUAUGCCUAUGGCAUGUGGAAGUUCCUGGACCAGGGAUUGAACCUUCACCACAGCAGUGACCAAGGCUGCUGAAGUGACAGCACCAUAUAUUUAACCUGCUGUGCCAUAAGGGAAAUCCCUGGGUUGUUUGUUUUUGGUUACUGUUAUAUGAACCAUUUGUAUAUUUUGAAAUUAAGCCUUUGUUUGUUGCAUUAUUUGCAAAUAUAUUCUCCCAGUUCAUAGGUUUUCUUUUUGUUUUGGUGAUGGGUCUGUGCUGGCCCAAUUCUGGGUCUUUUGUGAUUCUAUAAAAAUUUUAUGAUUAUUUGUUCUAGUUCUGUGAAAAACACCAUGGGUAAUUUGAAUAGAGAUAGCAUUAAAUCUUAUAGUUUGCUUUGGGUACUAUGGCCAUUUUAAGAAAAUUAAUUCUUCCAAUCUAAGAUUACAGGAUAUCUUUCCAUUUCUUUAAAUGUUUGAUUAGAUUGUAUUUGUUUAUUUUUGCCCUUAUUUCUUUUGCCUUAGGAGAAUUAGAAGAAGAAUGACAAACCAAGCCCAAAGUCAGCAGAGGAAGGAAAUAAAUAAAUAUCAGAGAGAAAAUAAAA
rnacentral:lncRNA from 1 species